GAGAGUUUUAACCCCGCCCCCUUUCGGGAGCUCGAGAUCUGAGUUUUGACCCCGCCCCCUUUCGGGGGAUCCGGAGGCGCUGCCCAGUGACCUCCACCACCCUGCCUAUCCUUGUGGAUCUCCUUGGUGCGAGCUUGAAUUUUAGGAAAUAAGUAGGAGAUGGAGUUUUGCUCUUGUUGCCGGGGCUGCAGUGCAAUGGUGCAAUCUCGGUUCACUGCGACCUCCGCCUCUCGGGUUCAAGCGAUUCUCCUUUCUCAGCCUACCGAGUAGCUGGGAUUACAGGCGCGUGCCACCAGGCCCGGCUAAUUUUUGUGUUUUUAGUAGAGACGGGGUUUCAUUAUGUUGAUCAGGCUGGUCUGGAACUCCUGACCUCAGGUGAUCCACCUGCCUUGGCCUCCCAAAGUGCUGGGAUUACAGACGUGAGCCACCGCCCCUGGCCUAAAUUUAACCAUCUUUAAGUAUACAUUUCAGUGACAUUAAGCCUGUUCACGUUGUGCAUCCAUCAGCAGAAUUUGUCAUUAUCCCAUACUGAAAUUCUGUAUACGUUAAACGCUUACGCCCUAUUCUCUUUUCCCCAGCCUCUGGUAACCACCAUUCUACUUUCACCUUUUGGCCACUGUGAAUGAUGCUUCUGUGGACAUUAGUAUACAAAUAUCUGUUGGAGUCCCUGCUUUCAAUUAUUGGGGGUAUAUACCCAGAAGUGAAAUUGCUGGAUUAUAUGGCAAUUCUUAUGUUUAAUUUUUUUUUUUUUUUGAGGAGCCACCAUACUGUUUUCCAUAGCAUCAUACCAUUUUACAUUCCCAAUGGUAGAAGGUUUUACAGAAGAUAGUGACAUGAUCAAAACUAUGAUUAAAAGCAAUCUGGAAAAGAGAGUAAGAUGGAGUAGAGUGGCAGAAUGACCAUGUGGAGACUUCCACAAUGGUUUAGGCAAGAUAUAAUGAGGGCGAGGGCCUGAACACAUCAUCAGCAAUGAGAAUGGAGGAAAGAGGAUACAAAUGCUGAGGUGAUAUUGCCAAGGAAAGAUUGUAAGGACUUGACCAUUGACUGGCGAUUGAGGGGUUAGGGAACAAGAAAAUUAAGGGUUUUUUUUGUUUUUGUUUUUGAGACGGAGUCUCAUUCUGUCACCCAGGCUGGAGUGCAGUGGCGCAAUCUCAGCUCACUGCAAACUCCGCCUCCCGGGUUCACGCCAUUCUCCUGCCGCAGCCUCCCGAGUAUGUGGGACUACAGGCACCAGCGACCAUGCUCGGCUAAUUUUUUUGUAUUUUUUUAGUAGAAACGGUGGGUUUCACCGUGUUAGCCAGGAAGGUCUCGAUCUCCUGACCUCAUGAUCCACCCACCUCAGCCUCCCAAAGUGCUGGGAUUACAGGCGUGAGCCACUGUGCCCGGCCAAAUUAAGGUGUUUAAUAUGACUCCCAUGUGUCACACCUGGGAGGAUGGUAGUCUUCAGAUGAAGAGUCAGGGUAUGGAGAAGUCAUGAGUUCAAGUUUGGAUAUAUAGAGUUCGAAUUACAAGUGGCACAUUGUAAGCUGUGGGGUGGACAUUUGUUGUCUUGCCUGCUGAAUACCCCUUGCCCUUUCAACUGGUAAUGGCACUCUACUUUUUUUCUUUUGAGACAGAGUUUCGCUCUUGUCACCCAGGCUGGAGUGUAGUGGUGUGAUCUCAGCUCACUGCAACCUCUGCCUCCCAGGUUCGAGCUAUUCUCCUGCCUUAGCCUCCCAAGUAGCUGGGAUUACAGGUGCCCACCACCACACCCAGCUAAUUUUUUGUAUUUUUAGUAAAGACGGGGUUUCACCAUGUUGGCCAAGCUGGUCUUGAACUCCUGACCUCAGGUGAUCUGCCCCCCUGCCUCAGCCUCCCGUAGUGCUGAGAUUAUAGGCGUAAGCCACUGCGUCCAGCCUACUUUUUUUUUUUUUCUUUAAAGGUUGUAGAAUUUAUCCUUCUUCAUCUAUGUAUUGGCUAGGCUGGGAGGGUGUGUGGCCAUGAGAAUGUGCUUCUCAGAUCUCUGACUGAGGAAAUUGUAAUUUACCAGCAGUCCAGCUGCUGAGUUCUGAAAUCCAUCCUGAGCUUUGAAAUCCAUUGCCCUUUACUCCGAGGUCUUACUUCCCAUACGCUGCUCAUAGCCAAUAACUGAGCCCAACGGGGAUUUUAGGACAGGACUGUUCCUGGGAUAAGUGAUACUCUUCCGAUGGGUGACUUUGACUCAAGGACUCCUCAAUGGCCUUGCCAAACUUUCCUUAGAACUUCAUUGCAGUCUGAGACACUUCCACCUUGAACACCUUCCCUCUGUCCUUCACUCAGGGUCAGGCCUGCGUCACUGUGCGAUGGCUCUCUCAGUCUUCCCCUUCCAUUUCC
rnacentral:lncRNA from 1 species